rnacentral:rRNA from 1 species
GACCAGACUCCUACGGGAGGCAGCAGUGGGGAAUAUUGCACAAUGGGGGGAACCCUGAUGCAGCGACGCCGCGUGAAGGAUGAAGUAUUUCGGUAUGUAAACUUCUAUCAGCAGGGAAGAAAAUGACGGUACCUGACUAAGAAGCCCCGGCUAACUACGUGCCAGCAGCCGCGGUAAUACGUAGGGGGCAAGCGUUAUCCGGAUUUACUGGGUGUAAAGGGGGCGCAGACGGCGAUGCAAGCCAGGAGUGAAAGCCCGGGGCCCAACCCCGGGACUGCUCUUGGAACUGCGUGGCUGGAGUGCAGGAGGGGCAGGCGGAAUUCCUGGUGUAGCGGUGAAAUGCGUAGAUAUCAGGAGGAACACCGGUGGCGAAGGCGGCCUGCUGGACUGCGACUGACGUUGAGGCCCGAAAGCGUGGGGAGCAAACAGGAUUAGAUACCCCUGUACG